UACGUAGGGUGCAAGCAUUAAUCGGAUUUAUUGGGCGUAAAGGGCGCGUAGGCGGGGAAAUAAGUCAGAUGUGAAAUCCCGGGGCUCAACCUCGGAACAGCAUUUGAAACUAUUUUUCUAGAGGAUAGGCGGAGAAAACGGAAUUCCACAAGUAGCGGUGAAAUGCGUAGAUAUGUGGAAGAACACCGGUGGCGAAAGCGGUUUUCUAGCUUAGACCUGACGCUGAGGCGCGAAAGCAAGGGGAUCAAACAGG
rnacentral:rRNA from 1 species